rnacentral:lncRNA from 10 species
AGGCGCGCCACCUUAAGAGCUGUUAACACUCACCGCGAGGGUCCGCGGCUUCAUUCCUGAAAUCAGUGAGACCAAGAACCCACCAAUUCCGGACACAUUCCCUUCACACCUCCCUCUGGUGUCUGAAAACCCAAGAACAUUCAUUUCCUUACGGAGAGACUCAACAAUCCUUCAUUGGGAUGGGAGAGGGGGCUCGCAUCCAUCCACUGUCCCCUUCACUGUGAAUGAAUUGGUUGGUUUGCAUUCGCUCACAUCUGUAGAACUGGAGGGAACAGGACACAGAAAAGAGUAGGCCAGAGGAACAACUGCCCAGGAGUCAGGGGCAAGAGGAGAACUGUUUCCCCCCAGGGGUGUCUCACCUGGGUCAGAAUCACUCAUGAUGGCCUCAGGGACCAGGAAGUUAUGAGCAGAGAUCCUUGGUGAGGUCUACACACCACAGUUUUGCCUGAAGACGAUCCUUAUUUUAGAGAGCCAAUUUAAAGUAGGAGGAAAGCAAAAGUAAUGUUACUGAAUUGGUGGCAGAGAGGAGGAGGCAUCAGCUUCCAGUUCAACCCUGCAGGCAUCCUGCUGAAAC